rnacentral:lncRNA from 1 species
AGGGGGAAAAAAGUUGAAUUAAGGAAGAAAAAGGAUAGAAGAGAAACAAGGCACACCGACUAUAUGUUAUUGUUGUUUAAAAUGAGAAUCGGAAGCCAGGUCCAGCAUCAAAGAGGAACUAUGGCCUCUUCUAUCUUGAUGGUUUAUAACAGUAGAGUUCAGGGUUAUCUUCCUGAGUUCAUCAGCUCGCACAAAUAAUGUAAGAAAAUCAUCUCUUGGUUUCACAAUAACUCAACCGAGUUGCUUAAAUAAUGACAUCUCCACUAAUUCUAUUUAUUUCCAUUAAAUUUUAGCUCUCUGACUUUUCAACCUUCAAAUUUUAAUUUUAUUCAUUAAAAUGCUUUUGAACUGAUUAUUUUUUAUGUUAAACUUUGUCGGAUUAUCAAUUACAUAAAUACAAAUAAACAAUAUUAUAUUAUAUAUUAUAUAUUAAAUUUUAAAUUUUAAAUUAUUUUAAAUAUAUAAAUAGUUUAUAAAAAUCUUUUUUAACUUGAUGACUUUUAUGGGCAUUUUCAUUUUUAUUUUACCGUUGUUUGAAUCUGAAACACAUAUUCUAUCGCUGUUUUAAACCUUAUCAAAGUGUAGCUUAAACAAUAGUUUUUCAAUUUCUACUUAAUAGAAAGACCCUUUAAAUAAUAUGAUUAAAGUAUCAUUGAUGUUCGUUUUGCGAUUCAUAAAAGAUAAAUCUUUUUCAGGGUUUGUAGCUAUCCAUCCCAACAAAGUAGUCUCCAAAACUCGAAUAUGAGUUUUCUCCAUGAAAAGACAAUCUACC